CAUCUCUUUUUGUUUAUAUAUAAAGUAUGACCUGCCCACUGAUUUAUUUGAAGGGCCGCGGUAACCUGACCGUGCAAAGGUAGCAUAAUCAUUAGUUUCUUAAUUAGAGGCUGGAAUGAAUGGUUGGACGAAAUAUGAGCUAUCUCAUUAUUUUUAUUAGAAUUUAAUUAUUAAGUAAAAAAGCUUAAAUAUUGUUAUGGGACGAGAAGACCCUAUAGAGUUUAAUAUUGUAAUUUUUAGAUUAGUUUUGUUUCGCAAUAUUAAUUAUAAUUUUUUGUUGGGGUGACAGGAAGAUAUAAAUAACUUCUUUUUAUUGAUAAAUAUUAAUUUAUAGAAUUUUGAUCCAUUUAUAAUGAUUAUAAGAC
rnacentral:rRNA from 1 species